rnacentral:lncRNA from 10 species
GGAUAUAAAAGGGCAGCCUUUAGUUUUGCCUACAACCUCACCAUUAUUUGGUCUAUCAAGUCUUUUUCAUCUUGUUUAAUGGUAGUCAAAUCUUCAGAAACCUGGCUUUUUAUAUCUAAACUAAUAUAAAAAUGAUAAUGGUAAGAAAUCUAAUUUAGUUAUCUUUUUUUUUUCUGGAAAAGGAAACCAUCAACAACAACAACACACACACACACACACACACACACACACACACACACCACAUGAUUGCUUGCUUGCUUAGGGAGGAAUCAGAGCUUCAAAAGUGAGCUGAUUCCAGCCACCAGCUGUCAUCAUAUGAGGAGCUCUUGUGAGUUGAUCGCCCAUGAAAGAGGAAUGAGCCUCUAAACAUGGCCACAGCUCAGUGAUACUGACCAACCAGACAUACCUUUGCUGGACCUAUGCAAACAUGAAACAGGUAAAGAGAACCUUUUCACAUUCAGUUAAGAUUUCAUGAAGAGUUGUAAGAGAAAAGCUUUUCCAGACCCAGCCAUGAGUACUCUGCUUUACUCAGAAGAACCACAAACUUUGAACAGCUUGAUAAUCCAGCAUUUCUGAAACUUUUCUUUGCAUGUGUGUCACUGAGGUAUCUUAUUAAAGCACAUAUUCUAAUUCUUUGGUCUGAGAUGGGGACUAAGAUUCUGCAUUUCUAACAACUUCCAAGUGAUGCUAAUGUGUUCCUGAUGCUGGGACCCUAUUUUAAGUAGCAAAGGUCUUGUUGGAAUCAACCCAACCAAUGGAAGGCAAACAAUCACAAUUCUUGACUGUGAGUUUUGGACAAUGAUUGUCUAUGUUCAGAUGGAAUUUUAUGAAGCUAAACGUUACCUUUGGCCUGUAUAGUGAGUAUACUACAACUCAAGUGGAGGGGUGUGUGUUCAUAUUUUCUCUCAAAAACAAAGCUGAAAAGCCAAUGGGCACAUGGGCAGCAAGGAGAAGGAUGCUAGAAUAAAAUCUUAUUGCAAAAAGGUGGAGAUCAAUAAUCUGCAGCUAUUUCUUUUUCUUUCUUUCUUUUUUUUUUCUGAGACAAGGUUUCACUCUGUCACCUAGCCUGGAGUGCACUGGCGCAAUCAUCACUCACCACAGCCUCGAACUCCUGGGCUCAAGUGAUCCUCUUACCUCACCCUCCCAAGUAUCUGGACUACAGGCUUCAUGAAAUACUUUAGCCAGACAGGUCAGGGUUUAAAGGUGCGCCACUACAGGCAAGCACCACUAUACCCAGCUAAUUUUUAAAAUUUUUUUUAAAGAGACACAGGUCUCACUUUGUGCCCAGGCUGGUCUCAAACUCCUGGCCUCAAGCAAUCCUCCUACCUCGGCCUCCCAAAGUGCUGGGAUUACAGGCAUGAGCCAUGGCCCCUAGCCCUAUUUCUAAUGUAUGAAUAACCUGUUCUCAAGUUAUCUUAAGAAAUAAAGUAUUUCUUUUUUGAAAUAAAUAAAAAGUAGCUAUAC